rnacentral:lncRNA from 1 species
CUACCAGUUCGUAAAAAUACUGGGAGAAACUUUAGACUAAAGUCUAAGUCUUAGUAUUUAUAAUUUAUGUACUAAUAGAGGUCUGAUUUUCCUUUAUGCAGCUAUGGCCACUACCCUAUCCCUCCGAUCAUUAUUAGAUAAUGACAAGCUCAUGGGACCUAAUUUCGAUAGCUGGUAUCGAUAAUUAAAAAUCAUCCUUGAGCAUG